AAUGGAGCAAAAAGGGACUAAGAAAAGAAAGACAGAUGGCUCAAGUUGAAGUUAGAAAGUAGUGAAGCAGAAAAUAGUUGUACUGAAUAUGAGAAGUUAUAUUCCUGCGUAGUGAACAAUUGUAAUAGUCGUUCAGAAUAGUUACAAUAUAUGAAGUUUGGUACUUUUUGUGAUGUGACCUUUCAAGUUGUUAUCUUACUGUAAUAGUUACAAUAUGGCGCAGAAAUUGUAUCUAUACAAAUCUACUAUAAACUGUUGAGCUAAAGUAAUCUUGGUUUUCAAA
rnacentral:sRNA from 1 species